UGCGUAGACGGUUAUUUAAGUCGGGUGUGAAAGCCCCGGGCUCAACCUGGGAAUUGCAUUCGAGACUGAAUAGCUAGGGUACGGUAGAGGGAAGCGGAAUUUCCGGUGUAGCGGUGAAAUGCGUAGAUAUCGGAAGGAACAUCAGUGGCGAAAGCGGCUUCCUGGACCAGUACCGACGUUCAGGCACGAAAGCGUGGGGAGCAAACAGGAUUAGAUACCCUGGUAGUCCACGCCAUAAACGAUGAGGACUAGACGUUGGAGGGGUAAGCCUUUCAGUGUCGUAGCUAACGCGCUAAGUCCUCCGCCUGGGGAGUACGGCCGCAAGGUUGAA
rnacentral:rRNA from 1 species